UACGAAGGGGGCGAGCGUUGGUCGGAAUCACUGGGCGUAAAGCGCACGUAGGCGGCGCGUUAAGUCAGGGGUGAAAUCCUGGAGCUCAACUCCAGAACUGCCUUUGAUACUGGCGUGCUCGAGUGUGGGAGAGGUUGGUGGAACUCCGAGUGUAGAGGAGAAAUUCGUAGAUAGUCGGAAGAACACCAGUGGCGAAGGCGGCCAACUGGCCCAUUACUGCCGCUGAGGUGCGAAAGCGUGGGGAGCAAACAGG
rnacentral:rRNA from 1 species